rnacentral:rRNA from 1 species
CCUACGGGUGGCUGCAGUGAGGAAUAUUGGUCAAUGGCCGGAAGGCUGAACCAGCCAAGUCGCGUGAGGGAAGACGGCCCUACGGUUGGUAAACUUCUUUUAUAAAGGAAUAAAGUGAGGCACGUGUGCCUUUUUGUAUGGACUUUAUGAGUAAGGAUCGGCUAACUCCGUGCCAGCAGCCGCGGUAAUACGGAGGAUCCGAGCGUUAUCCGGAUUUAUUGGGUGUAAGGGGAGCGUAGAUGGGUUGUUAAGUCAGUUGUGAAAGUUUGCGGCUCAACCGUAAAAUUGCAAUUGAUACUGGCAGUCUUGAGUACAGUUGAGGUAGGCGGAAUUCGUGGUGUAGCGGUGAAAUGCUUAGAUAUCACGAAGAACUCCGAUUGCGAAGGCAGCUUACUAAACUGCCACUGACAUUGAUGCUCGAAAGUGUGGGUAUCAAACAGGAUUAGAUACCCGUGUAGUC